AUUAUUCCUGCUUUCUAAUUUGACAAUGAAACUCGCUCUCACUAUCGAAAACCUGGAAUAGUAGAUUUCACUCAAAAUUACAAAAAUAGUUUUUUGAUAACACAAGAAGUUUGUACGGUGAAAGUACAACUUCCUCAGAUGGACAAUAGCAAUAGUAGCACCUCCCAUCCAAUAGCAAUGGUA